UUCUAUUUGCAGAUGAGUUGGCUCGAUUUGCAGGCGAGUCGGUUCGGAUUGAAAUCGAGCUGGCUCGAGCAGCGAUCCUGAAAAUAUAGUUUUCUAUCUUCUUUGAGAGAAUUGGUUCGAAUUGAAAUUGAAUCAACUCGAACAUGUUCUAGUCUUCUUCUAAUGUGCUAGAGUCAACCAGAAAUCUUCUAAAGUUGGCUCCAAACCUUCCAACAUCAUUUUUCUUUAUAUUUCAACCUCUCAAACUUAAAUUUUCUUAGCCCUAAUGCUUCCAAAUGAUAUUUACUUGUUCCAAUUUUAUUUUUUUAAUAAUAAGCCAUCUAAAUUUAUGAGAACUUAUUUUUUUAAGUACUUUUUUUUGACAU
rnacentral:lncRNA from 1 species